UGUGCCCCGCCUCCUGGGCGGAGCGGGCGGCUCCCCCAUGGUCAGAGCCUCGUGCCGGCUCGGCAGCGCCCGGACGCCGGGCCCAGCGCGUCGGCGCCCUGGCGUGCGGGCGUCUCACAGCCGCGGAGGGGCCGCCGGGACCGUUUCAGCGUGGCGGCGCUGGUGCUGGCGUUGGCCCUGGAGGACGGCCCUGAGUGGUGGCUGGCGCCUGCCUUCCGGGUCUCUCCCGGCUACAGAUGGAGUCGUCCCGCGGCCGCCAGCGGCAAGGUCGGCAGCUGCGAGGCCAAGGGAGACCCCAGGACACACGCAGCUGCCUCCCGGUGCGAGAAGAGGACCCCGGCUUGAGAGUGAGAUGGCGUUUAAUGAUUGCUUCAGUUUGAACUACCCUGGCAACCCCUGCCCAGGGGACUUGAUUGAAGUGUUCCGUCCUGGCUAUCAGCACUGGGCCCUGUACUUGGGUGAUGGUUAUGUUAUCAACAUAGCGCCAGUAGAUGGCAUUCCUGCAUCCUUUACAAGCGCCAAGUCUGUAUUCAGCAGUAAGGCCCUGGUGAAAAUGCAGCUCCUGAAGGAUGUUGUGGGAAAUGACACCUACAGAAUAAACAAUAAAUACGAUGAAACAUACCCCCCUCUCCCUGUGGAAGAAAUCAUAAAGCGGUCAGAGUUUGUAAUUGGACAGGAGGUGGCCUAUAACUUACUUGUCAACAACUGUGAACAUUUUGUGACAUUGCUUCGCUAUGGAGAAGGAGUUUCAGAGCAGGCCAACCGAGCGAUAAGUACUGUUGAGUUUGUGACAGCUGCUGUUGGUGUCUUCUCAUUCCUGGGCUUGUUUCCAAAAGGACAAAGAGCAAAAUACUAUUAACAAUUUACCAAACAGAUAUUGAUAUUGAAGGAAUUUGGGAGGAGGAAAAAAAACCUGGGAUAAUACAACUGAAGGACUCAAAGCCGAUAAAUAAAUGGCAGAGCCAGAAUUCAAAGGAGAAUGGACUACCUCUUGGCCUGUGUACCUUUGACAGCCUAACGGUGUCUACUGAGAAAUGUGCCCUGAAUCACAAAUAUGAGACAGGACAUUUUGGAGACUGUGUGUCUCUCUUCAUUUUUAUCUUUUCAAACAGAGAGAAGGCUAAGAUUAAAUCAUUCAUCAAAUAAUGUUAAUAUUUCUAAUUCUCCCAAAGCAAAUUCUACCUGGAAUUCAUUCUUCAAGGAGGACAGAGAAAUGUGGAGACAGUCUUUAUCAAGUUGUGAAAUACAGCAAACUGUAAAGGGUUGUUUGGAUUAAAGGGUUGUUUGGAAAAGCUGGGUCAGAGUCUAGCAGAAAACCUGGCUGUUUUUCUCACGGCUGCCACAACUCUGAUCCAGGAGAACUAACUCUUCUCCAUCCCUUGACCUGGAAGGCACUUGAUUUUGAAUUAUAUGUUUAUUAAUUUUGAGAUGGAAUCUCGCUCUCUCAGGCUGGAGUGCAGUGGCACAAUUUCAGCUCACUGCCACAUUCUCCUGCCUCGGCCUCCCAAGUAGCUGGGAAUAUAGGCAUCUGCCACGACACCCAGCUAAUUUUUCUAUUUUUAGUAGAGACGGGGUUUUACCAUGUUGGCCAGGCUGGUCUCGAACUCCUGACCUCAAGUGAUCCACCCGCCUUGGCCUCCUAGAGUGCUGGGAUUACAGGCAUGAGCCACCAUGCCUGACCCUGGCAUUAUUUACUUAUGCAAUGGUCUUCUCUCCUCGCUUCUAAACUACUUGAGAGCAGUGACCACACCUUAUUCAUCUUUGUAACUCUAGUACCAAACUCACUCUGGAGCUUCGUGUUUGAUAAAUGAAUGACUUGGGUUUUCAUUUCCUAAUUGCUUAUCUCUCCUCUCACAUGUAGUCUUCCUGCCAUCAUCUAAUUAGUCUGUCUUCCAUGCCCUGCUGAGAAGCCUGCUUAGAUAGCUUCAUUCACUCCAUGUUGCUCUUGGCAUAAAGUCUAAACUGCUCUAGCUGCCUCCAUCCAUCCAUGCCUGCCUUUAUUAUUCAUUCUUGUUCAUACUCCACAGCACAUGGCCUCGGUUUUAGCCAGUCUUCUAGUGCUUGGAUAAGCCUUGCUUUUGAUUUCUGUCUCUGCCACCCUACAUUCAUUUGCAUUUCAAAGAUAAAAGCUCUUUCAGUCCUCUCUGCUUCUUAGGCUGUUCUUAUUGGGAAUAUCCCUACUACCUCCUACCUAGCAAAAUGUGGCCUAUCCUUUUGGACCCAGGUCAAGUUGCAUCUCAUCCAUGAAAUGCCUUCCAUGACAGCCACAGUCCACAGUGAGGCCCCCUCCUUCUAUGUUCUCCCCAGUUCUGUCUAUCUUCACACGCUCUUCAAGUAUGGAUAGCCUCAGGUAGCGUUCAAGUAUGUCUUGUCUUCACGACAAAUCUAUGACUCGGAGAUGAGGAGCCAACCUUUCUCUUUCUUUUAUUUCUCUCACAAUAUGGGGUCCAAGAAUUAGUUCAAUAGCCUCUUGAUGAAUUAGAUUUUAACCCAGGGCAUCCUGGAUCAAAUUAUAUCCACCGACAAAAAACUUCAUGUAGUUAAUACCUGACAAAACAUGACUGUCUUGUAAGUCUAUGUUUUCUUUCCCUUUAUAACUACAUUAUAAAGGAUUUCUAUGAUAUGGUUUAUUUUUUUGAAAAUUGUACUUGGAAAAUCAUUGUAUUAUUGCAUUAAUUUUAUUGUAUUGGUAUAACAUAGCAUAAUAAAGUAUCCAAACAUAAUAUUUCAGGUAGGUACAGGAUAAAUGUACCCAAUAAUAUUAAUAAUAUGAAAGCCAUUAGAGGCCAGUAUAGGUGAAAUCCAAGUAUCUUAUUUGCCCUUCUAGUAUAUAGAAAUAGCCUCACAGUAUUUGGUGGUCAAAGAGAGUACAGUAACUUGUGAAUUACAAUGAAUACAUGGUCCAUGUACAUGAGUCAUGCCAGAUGUGCAAAUGAAUGUCACUUACCUCCAUU